ACGAAGACUCUGAAGAUGCAGAAUACCAAAACUCACAAAAAUAUCAGUGUUGAAAAACAGCUUCUGGCACUUCAAGAAGUGAACACCAGACAA